GACCCCACAUACUAAAACUGGAUACAGAGAAGAUUCGCGUGGCCCGUGUGCAGGCAUGACACGCAAAUUCAUGACGUGUUCCAUGUCUGC
rnacentral:snRNA from 1 species